UAAUUAUUUAUUUUAGAUGAUACAAAUGGUCAUCUUGACAACCAUUUUGUAUUUCUUUUUAAUUCUAUAUUUAAAAAAUAAAAAAAAUAAAAAAUAAUAAAAAAAUUGGAGGGAUAUUUAUGUGGACCAUUGGGAAUUUGGGAUAUUUAGAAUUACCCUAAUUAUUUAAAGGCUGCUUAACAUAAUUGAAAUGCUUUUAUAUUGCACUAUCACUAUUCACUAGAGUAUCAAACUAUCAACUGCUUACAGCUUCAAAAAAACCGAUGAAAAGUGAAACAUCCUGUUGCUCAAUUCACCAAUAACUGCUUCAUCGCCCUACCGCCCCACCGCCCCACCGCCCCACCGUCAUUCCGUCGUCCCACCGGCCAAACUACUGAACGUCUACUUCACCGCUCCGCUACACCACCACUACACUUUCCAGGUAAUUCGUUCAAAUAUUUCUUGAUUCGGAUGAGUUUGUCAAUCUAAUUGUAUUAAUCAAUCGAAUUUUUCAAUUCAGCUGUAGUGAAUUCAUAUUUUUCAUCCAUUACAGUAAUUUCGAUCGAAUUUUUGGUGGAUUAAAAAAAUUCACAAUUUUAGUUUUUGGGAAAUAAUUCAAUCAAUUCUUAAAAACGCAAAUAAUUCAAUAAAAUUGCAGUUUUUUCAAUCAAACUACACUUCAUUUAUUCGAAUUACAAGAAAUUUCAAUAUUAAUCAAUAUUAUUUUCGCCAAAUUAUUCUUACCUAGGUCAAAUAUAGAACCCUAAUUAGAUAAAGAAAGAGGGGUAGGGGAAAUUGAUUACCACUAGAUUAUUAUGUUCUAAUAAUUUCAAAUACUUUAAUUUGCAAAUUAUUUUAGAAAAGUUGAUUUGCUUUGCUUUUCUUUCAUAAAAGGGUUGGUUAUGAGAUGCUGUGAUUGAAAUUCAGUGAUGAUUUAAUCUAAUUCUAUUGAUGUAUAAGAGUAGUCAUGGUGUUUGUGGUAUAAGUGUAUCUGGCAAGUACUCCCACAAUACGACACAAAGUGACAAGCAGAGCACUUCUUGAAUUUGACAGAAGAAAAACAGAGUUUACAUCUAGAGGAACCGGACAAGUCUUUUAGGACAGUAACAUAAGGUUGUUGACUUAUGACAAUCUCGCCUGCAGGAGGCGCAUGGUGAAGAGAAUUAGGCACUUUUGCUAAGUCAUCCAAAGAAAGACAUGGUGACGUUGCAGAAUAACACCCAUUUAUAAAGUACUCCGUAUGUAUCAUCAUAUGCUUGGCCAAAUUACAAAAAUGCCGGUAUGAAAAUUUUUGUUUCCCUUUCGUAUAAUCUUGCUGUUCAGGUUGUUUAGAAAAAAAUGUGAAUGUUCCUGUUGGAUUCUAUAGCUAGUUUGCUUAAUGAUUUUGUACUGGAUCAUUUGAUACCAAUGGAGUUGGCCUUAAAGAUUGUUAGCAAAUUCCGAGCCAAAGAGAGAUUUGUUGUCUAAGUUGUCAUCCAUAUGUCAAUUUUAGAUCAAUAUGGUAUUGGUAUAUCUAAGCAUUAUUUUUUUAAAUCAAUAUUAACUAGAAAGGUGUUUUGAUAUUAAA